UACGGAGGGGGCUAGCGGUGUUCGGAAUUACUGGGCGUAAAGCGCACGUAGGCGGAUUGUUAAGUCGGGGGUGAAAUCCCGGGGCUCAACCCCGGAACUGCCUUCGAUACUGGCAAUCUAGAGUUCUGGAGAGGUGAGUGGAAUUCCGAGUGUAGAGGUGAAAUUCGUAGAUAUUCGGAGGAACACCAGUGGCGAAGGCGGCUCACUGGCCAGACACUGACGCUGAGGUGCGAAAGCGUGGGGAGCAAACAGG
rnacentral:rRNA from 1 species